rnacentral:rRNA from 1 species
GCCAACCGACCCGUAACCCUUUUUUUUGAAAAAAAAAAAUGAACAAGGUCUCCGUUGGUGAACCAGCGGAGGGAUCAUUACCGAGUUUACAACUCCCAAACCCAAUGUGAACGUUACCAAACUGUUGCCUCGGCGGGAUCUCUGCCCCGGGUGCGUCGCAGCCCCGGACCAAGGCGCCCGCCGGAGGACCAACCAAAACUCUUAUUGUAUACCCCCUCGCGGGUUUUUUUAUAAUCUGAGCCUUCUCGGCGCCUCUCGUAGGCGUUUCGAAAAUGAAUCAAAACUUUCAACAACGGAUCUCUUGGUUCUGGCAUCGAUGAAGAACGCAGCGAAAUGCGAUAAGUAAUGUGAAUUGCAGAAUUCAGUGAAUCAUCGAAUCUUUGAACGCACAUUGCGCCCGCCAGUAUUCUGGCGGGCAUGCCUGUCCGAGCGUCAUUUCAACCCUCGAACCCCUCCGGGGGGUCGGCGUUGGGGAUCGGCCCUGCCUUGGCGGUGGCCGUCUCCGAAAUACAGUGGCGGUCUCGCCGCAGCCUCUCCUGCGCAGUAGUUUGCACACUCGCAUCGGGAGCGCGGCGCGUCCACAGCCGUUAAACACCCAACUUCUGAAAUGUGACCUCGGAUCAGGUAGAAUCCCCCAA